rnacentral:siRNA from 1 species
ACCCCGUCUCAUACAAGCUCUUGC